CGUAACACGUAGGCAACCUGCCCAAAAGUGGGGGACAACAGUUCGAAAGGACUGCUAAUACCGCAUAUUAUUACCGAACGGCAUCGUUUGGUAAUCAAAGCAUACUUGUAUGCGCUUUUGGAUGGGCUUGCGGCCUAUCAGGUAGUUGGUGGGGUAAUGGCCUACCAAGCCGACGACGGGUAGCUGGUCUGAGAGGACGAUCAGCCGGAUUGGGACUGAGAUACGGCCCAG
rnacentral:rRNA from 1 species